rnacentral:rRNA from 1 species
GACGAACGCUGGCGGCGUGCUUAACACAUGCAAGUCGAACGGAAAGGCCCUGCUUUUGUGGGGUGCUCGAGUGGCGAACGGGUGAGUAACACGUGAGUAACCUGCCCUUGACUUUGGGAUAACUUCAGGAAACUGGGGCUAAUACCGGAUAGGAGCUCCUGCUGCAUGGUGGGGGGUGGAAAGUUUCGGCGGUUGGGGGUGGACUCGCGGCUUAUCAGCUUGUUGGUGGGGUAGUGGCUUACCAAGGCUUUGACGGGUAGCCGGCCUGAGAGGGUGACCGGCCACAUUGGGACUGAGAUACGGCCCAGACUCCUACGGGAGGCAGCAGUGGGGAAUAUUGCACAAUGGGCGGAAGCCUGAUGCAGCAACGCCGCGUGCGGGAUGACGGCCUUCGGGUUGUAAACCGCUUUCGCCUGUGACGAAGCGUGAGUGACGGUAAUGGGUAAAGAAGCACCGGCUAACUACGUG